rnacentral:RNase_P_RNA from 1 species
UGGGUCGGCAAGACGGUCGCGUCAGCCUUCGGGCUGCCGAGGAACGUCCGGGCUCCGCAGAGCAGGGCGGUGGGCAACACCCACCCGGGGCAACCCGCGAGACAGUGCCACAGAGAACAGACCGCCUCUCGUCGUCAGACCUGAGGUAAGGGUGAAACGGUGGGGUAAGAGCCCACCAGCGACCGGGGUGACCCGGCCGGCUCGGCAAACCUCGCCCGGAGCAAGGUCAGACAGGGGACCAUGAGACUGCUCGUCUCGUCCCCGGGUAGACCGCUGGAGCGGCGCGGCAACGUGUCGCCGAGAGAGAUGGCCGUCCAGGAAUCCGCGGGAAACGCGAUUCCGAACAGAACCCGGCGUAUCAGCCGGCCCAUUCC